AUGGAAUUGUCGAUUGAAAAUUAUGCAAUAAUGCUUAAAACGGCUGGGUGGUAUUUCACUAUGUUAUUGUCGAUGCAAUAAAAAAUUUACUAAUUAUUUUUUCCACAGUUCAACACAAUGGAAAGAAAAUGAUUUAGCAGCUAAAUAAUUAGUUUCUCGGAAGAAAAUAUCUACUGAAAAAUAUAAAAAAUUCAACCUAAAUCUUAGGCUUCGACGAGUAGCUAGUUUUUUUAAAAAUAUAUUUAAAUAUUGAACGCAUUGUA